rnacentral:rRNA from 1 species
AUGGCGUUCACGCACCGGCACGACCUCGACCUCAUCCGCGCCCACCUCCUCGACGACCUCCACGCGGACGCCGUCGCCCUCGCCAGCAGCGGCGGUGACUCCGACUCGAGUGCUUCGUCGCCGCCUGGGUGGCGGAGGCCGGCGCUCUCCUUGUCGCUGCCGCCGAAGCUAGCGAUGACGGUCAUGGAGCAGCAGCCUCAGCAGGAGAGCUGCGGCUACGUGGAGGGACAGGACGAGGAGGAGGACUUCCGGCGGUACCGGGGCGUGCGGCUGAGGUCGUGGGGCAAGUUCGCGGCGGAGAUCAGGGACCCGGCGCGGAAGGGCGCGCGCGUGUGGCUCGGCACCUACGACGACGCCGUGGAGGCCGCGCGCGCCUACGACCGCGCCGCCUUCCGCCUCCGCGGGUCCAAGGCCAUCCUCAACUUCCCCAACGAGGUCGGCACCCAAUCCAUCCAAUGGACCUCGCCUGCUCCCCUCGCCGACACCAUCGCUGCCGUGCCCACCGGCGGCAAGAGGAUGAGGCCGGCACAGGAGGAAGAGCGCCUGAGGGAGGUGAAGAAGGAGAGGCUGCAGCUGAAAGAGGAGGAGGAGGAGGGUGCUAGGGACGCCGACUUCUGGGAGGAGCUGAAGGUGAUCUGCAGCCUGCCGCCCCUCUCGCCGCUGUCGCCGUACCCGCACUUCGCCUUCCCGCAGCUCUCGGUCGUCAGCUGA